UACGUAGGGUGCAAGCGUUGUCCGGAAUUAUUGGGCGUAAAGAGCGUGUAGGCGGCCCGAUUAGUCCGCUGUGAAAGUCCAGGGCUCAACCCUGGAAUGCCGGUGGAUACUGUCGGGCUAGAGUCCGGAAGGGGCGAGUGGAAUUCCUGGUGUAGCGGUGAAAUGCGCAGAUAUCAGGAGGAACACCAAUGGCGAAGGCAGCUCGCUGGGACGUGACUGACGCUGAGACGCGAAAGCGUGGGGAGCAAACGGG
rnacentral:rRNA from 1 species